AUAAAAGAAAGUAAAUAAGGGCGCAUGGCGGAUGCCUUGGCUCUCGGAGGCGAUGAAGGACGUGAUAAGCUGCGAUAAGCUUCGGGUAGGUGCAAAUGACCUUUGAUCCGAAGAUUUCCGAAUGGGACAACCCGGCAUUCUGAAGGAAUGUCAUCCAACUUGGUUGGAGGCUAACGCAGGGAACUGAAACAUCUUAGUACCUGCAGGAAAAGAAAAUAAAUAAUGAUUCCCCUAGUAGUGGCGAGCGAACGGGGAUUAGCCCAAACCACCCAUGUUACGGCAUGUGUGGGGUUGUAGGACCACGCUCUCGCAAGACAGUUAUUGAGAAGAAACGACUGGAAAGUCGUGCCAUAGACGGUGAUAGCCCGGUAUUCUAAGGUAACCGAAGCGUAGUGGUAUCCUGAGUAGCGCGGAGCACGAGGAAUUCUGCGUGAAUCAGCCGGGACCAUCCGGUAAGGCUAAAUACUCCCGAGAGACCGAUAGCGAACCAGUACUGUGAAGGAAAGGUGAAAAGCACUUCGAAUAGAAGAGUGAAAUAGUCCCUGAAACCAUGCGCCUACAAGCGGUCGGAGCAGCUUAAGUUGUGACGGCGUGCCUUUUGCAUAAUGAACCUACGAGUUACUUUUUCCGGCAAGGUUAAGCAUCUUGAGAUGUGGAUCCGAAGCGAAAGCGAGUCUGAACAGGGCGGAUAGUCGGAAGGAGUAGACGCGAAACCAAGUGAUCUACCCUUGGGCAGGUUGAAGGUUAGGUAACACUAACUGGAGGACCGAACCGAUAAGCGUUGAAAAGCUUCCGGAUGACCUGAGGGUGGGGGUGAAAGGCUAAUCAAACUUGGAGAUAGCUCGUACUCCCCGAAAUGCAUUUAGGUGCAGCCUUGAGAGUUACUAAUGUGAGGUAGAGCGACUGAUAAGAUGCGAGGGCUUCACCGCCUAUCAAGUCUUGAUAAACUCCGAAUGCGCAUUAGUUCUAUCUCAGGAGUGAGGGCAUGGGUGCUAAGGUCCAUGUCCUAAAGGAGAAGAAUCCAGACCAUCAGCUAAGGUCCCCAAAUAAACACUAAGUUGAACUAACGAAGUCAGAUUGCUAAGACAGCUAGGAUGUUGGCUUGGAAGCAGCCAUUCAUUUAAAGAGUGCGUAACAGCUCACUAGUCGAGGAGUUUGGCGUGGAUAAUAAUCGGGCAUUAAGUGUUUUACCGAAGCUAUGGGAUACGUAAGUAUCGGUAGGGGAGCAUUCCACUCUGCGUUGAAGGCGAAGCGUGAGCUUUACUGGAGCGUGUGGAAAAGCAAAUGUAGGUAUAAGUAACGAUAAAGGGGGUGAGAAACCCCCUCGCCGCAAGACUAAGGUUUCCUGAUCAACGCUAAUCGGAUCAGGGUUAGUCGGGUCCUAAGGCUCAGCCGAACGGUGAGGCCGAUGGCAGAACAGGUUAAUAUUCCUGUACUACCUAUA
rnacentral:rRNA from 1 species